GCCUCGGUGGUGCUGUGGUAGCACGCGUCUCCGGUAUGGAUAAAACGCUGGUUCGACUCCCGUUUGGGGUC